rnacentral:rRNA from 1 species
AGUGAACGCUGGCGGCGUGCCUAAUACAUGCAAGUCGAACGAAGUGGCGCACGGGUGAGUAAUAUAUAGCUAAUCUACCCUACACAGGGGAAGAAUAGCUGGUAACAACUGUUAAUAACACAUAGUGUCGGAUGAGACUAUAUCGUAUCAGCUAGUUGGUAAGGUAAUGGCUUACCAAGAGUAUGACGCGUCACUGGUCUGAGAGGAUGAUCAGCCAAAUUGGAACGGAGACACGGUCCAAACUUCUUCGGGAAGGAGCAGUAAGCAAUAUUGGCCAAUGGGGGAAAGCCAGAAGGAGCAUCGCGGCGUGAAGCAUGACACUUUUCGGAGCAUAAACUCCUCUUAUCAGGUAAGCGUUACCUGAUGAAUAAGCACCGGCUAACUCCGUGCCAGCCGCCGCGGUAAUUC